CCUACGGGGGGCAGCAGUGGGGAAUAUUGCACAAUGGGCGCAAGCCUGAUGCAGCGACGCCGCGUGCGGGAUGGAGGCCUUCGGGUUGUAAACCGCUUUUGUUCAAGGGCAAGGCACGGUCUUUGGCCGUGUUGAGUGGAUUGUUCGAAUAAGCACCGGCUAACUACGUGCCAGCAGCCGCGGUAAUACGUAGGGUGCAAGCGUUAUCCGGAUUUAUUGGGCGUAAAGGGUGCGCAGGCGGGCCUUUAAGCCGGCGGU
rnacentral:rRNA from 1 species